rnacentral:rRNA from 13 species
CCUGGCGACCAUAGCGUUUUGGACCCACCUGAACCCAUUCCGAACUCAGAAGUGAAACGAAAUAGCGUCGAUGGUAGUGUGGGGUUUCCCCAUGUGAGAGUAGAACAUCGCCAGGC